UUUCGUCUUUCUCUCUCUUUUUUCUUAUCUCACGAGAUUUGAUCUCUCUUUUUCGAUCUCGCUAGACCUUCAUCAUCGAUCACACCUUUUUGGUCAUUGAUUUUGGGUUAUCGAUCACAACACAGCAACUCAUCUUCCUUUGCUAAUAGACGAAGGUGAGACGGUUGUUAUUAGAUCGGGUCCAAAUGAUGUGGAAGACAUGAUCACACGUCCACCAAAGGAGUGAAAACAAUGGGCAGACAUAACAAGAGAAGUGAACGAUGAAGUGGCUCGAUUGGAAUUAGAGACUUUUGUUUGUGUUCUAUUAUCAAACAACCAGAGUUCUUGUUAAUGUGUAAUGGUGGAGACUAGAGAGGCAAUCUUGUUUUUCUUGCUAAACAUUUGAUUUUCCGUUAUUUAAAAUAUUUUGAUGAGUUAUAUUA